rnacentral:rRNA from 1 species
GCAGAGCACUCCUCGGGAGGCAGCAGUGGGGAAUAUUGCACAAUGGGCGCAAGCCUGAUGCAGCCAUGCCGCGUGUAUGAAGAAGGCCUUCGGGUUGUAAAGUACUUUCAGCAGUGAGGAAGGUGGAUAUGUUAAUAGCAUAUUCAUUUGACGUUAGCUGCAGAAGAAGCACCGGCUAACUCCGUGCCAGCAGCCGCGGUAAUACGGAGGGUGCGAGCGUUAAUCGGAAUUACUGGGCGUAAAGCGCAUGCAGGUGGUUUGUUAAGUCAGAUGUGAAAGCCCGGGGCUCAACCUCGGAAUUGCAUUUGAAACUGGCAAACUAGAGUACUGUAGAGGGGGUAGAAUUUCAGGUGUAGCGGUGAAAUGCGUAGAGAUCUGAAGGAAUACCGGUGGCGAAGGCGGCCCCCUGGACAGAUACUGACACUCAGAUGCGAAAGCGUGGGGAGCAAACAGGAUUAGAUACCCUGGUAG